rnacentral:rRNA from 1 species
UUUAUGGAGAGUUUGAUCCUGGCUCAGGACGAACGCUGGCGGCGUGCCUAAUACAUGCAAGUCGAGCGGACGGAUGGGAGCUUGCUCCCAGAAGUUAGCGGCGGACGGGUGAGUAACACGUGGGCAACCUGCCCUAUAGUUGGGGAUAACUCCGGGAAACCGGGGCUAAUACCGAAUGAUAUAAUUUAGCUCCUGCUAGAUUGUUGAAAGAUGGUUUACGCUAUCGCUAUAGGAUGGGCCCGCGGCGCAUUAGCUAGUUGGUGAGGUAACGGCUCACCAAGGCGACGAUGCGUAGCCGACCUGAGAGGGUGAUCGGCCACACUGGGACUGAGACACGGCCCAGACUCCUACGGGAGGCAGCAGUAGGGAAUCUUCCACAAUGGGCGAAAGCCUGAUGGAGCAACGCCGCGUGAGUGAAGAAGGUUUUCGGAUCGU